rnacentral:rRNA from 1 species
UACGUAGGGGCAAGCGUUGUCCGGAUUUAUUGGGCGUAAAGCGCGCGUAGGCGGCAAGGUAUGUCGUGCGUGAAAUCUCCCGGCUUAACUGGGAGGGCCGUGCGAAACUGCCUGGCUUGAGGUCGGAAGGGGAAAGUGGAAUUCCGGGUGUAGUGGUGAUAUGCGUAGAUAUCGGGAGGAACACCUGUGGCGAAGGCGGCUUCUGGGCCUUACCUGACGCUGAGACGCGAAAGCGUGGGGAGCGAACCGG